rnacentral:rRNA from 1 species
UACGAACCGAGCGAACGUUGUUCGGAAUCACUGGGCUUAAAGGGCGCGUAGGCGGGUUCGCAAGUCUGUGGUGAAAUCCUCCGGCUCAACCGGAGAACUGCCUCGGAUACUGCGGGUCUCGAGGGUGAUAGGGGUAUGCGGAACUAUCGGUGGAGCGGUGAAAUGCGUUGAUAUCGAUAGGAACUCCGGUGGCGAAGGCGGCAUACUGGAUCACUUCUGACGCUGAGGCGCGAAAGCCAGGGGAGCAAACGGG